CGUGUCUUCACAAAGUCAAUACAGGUACGAUUAAAAAGUGCUAUUUUCAAGUGAUAAAGGACUAUAAACUACGGUGUAAGCCUGAGCACUACCUGCUCGUUAGAGUUGGAGAUGAACGUAUUCAGAUCUCUCCUGUUGCACCUCCCAGGCUGCAGACAGCAUGUAUUAUGCAGAAUAUUAGCACACAUUUAAAUCUGAGUCUUAGAGAUAUAGAGAAUGAGUUGUAACCUGGCUGUGAACUCUCUGUUGGCAGGAAGAUUAGUGUCAAAAUAAAAUUUGGUUGCUGGUGUGAGUUUAGAUAGAGAAUACCUGCAGAAUAAAGAUUGUUUCAUAGACAAUGAUAGUAAGUAAAAUAAAAUAGAAAACAUAUAUGUGAAAAUGUUUUAUAAUUCUAAUAAAUGACUAUACCUCCAA